rnacentral:lncRNA from 1 species
CAAAGAGGUUGUUCUGGGCAAACUCUGAGCAAAGUUUCACAGAAAGCCAUCAGAGGCCCAGGAGUUCACCUGCCAAGGGGGCUGGAUGGGUUGUUGGGCUUCUGUCCAUCUGCUCGGGGCUGGCAGCAGCUCCACACCCUGGGCAGGCCAGGUGGCCGGCUCCCCUGGCCAGGGCUUCUCGUCCCUCUGACCUAGUGCCCUUUCUCUUACCACAGCCCUCUAAGACCUGUGUUGGGGCUUUUUCCUGAUCCUAUUUACAGAUGUGGAAACCGAGGAUUGGAGAGCGUGAGUCACAAAAUUCAGGUCACGUAGCUAGAAAGUGGCAGAACCAGAAAGGCCCUCCAUGAAUGUCCAGAGCCCAGGCCGCCAGCUCCCGCUGUGGAAUUCGUAGGGCCUCCCACAGGUGUCCAUCACGGCGGACAGGACAGCUUCUCUAGGAGGCACCAGCCCAGCCCCGAAGCACACCAGGCCCACCCGUGUCCUCUGGUGGCCACGGACCCAAUCGUGGGCUGCCUUUUUGGAAGAGAUCCUGGUGGUUCUGCAGUUGCCCACUCCCCAGUCAUAGACCACAGCCUCACGCUCCAAAGCCGGGGCCUGAGUGGUCUGCUUCUGCUCUCCUCUCGGGGGGCUCUGAGGGUGCACCUGGCCUGUGAGGGUCUCGCCAGAUUGUGAGAUCUCCAGUGGACCCCACAUUGCUGAUCUCCAGUGGACCCCACAUUGCUGAUCUCCAGUGGACCCCACAUUGCUGAUCUCCAGUGGAUCCCACAUUGCUGAUCUCCAGUGGACCCCACAUUGCUGAUCUCCAGUGGACCCCACAUUGCUGAUCACAAGUGCUGCUCUUGAUGUUGCCCUGGUUUCUGGGGAUUGAGGAAGGCAGGGGCACGGUGAGUCCCGGGGCUGGAGACCCGGAUGGAGCACCAAGGCCAUAGUGAGUUUGCCAUCAGGCCUGUGAACUCACCCUGCUCUCUAGAUCGGCGCCUCCUGGGCGCACCCUGUGUUUUGUAAGCUGAAUUGUAAAAGUCACUGCUGCAACUUUAGAAAAUUCCUUUUUAAUAUCUUCACAAUGGAGAGGACGGUGGGUGGUGGUUGUUCCUGUUCCUGGAAGGGAAGGCGCUGUUAAUCCCACCACCUGGCGGAGGGUCUCAGGGAUCAAGACCGUGGCUUGCGGAACAGUGUCGCUGCCGCAGAAUGUCUCUCGGGGGUGAAUGGGUGUUCCUGCGGCCUAAUCUCAAAUUCUCAAGCUCAGUCUCUGGCAGAAAAGGAAAUUAAAAGAGGGGGAGAUCAGGCCGGCGGACGGCGUCCUCCCACCCUGCUCCUGGUGGGGACUUGAGAUGGAAAACGACCCUUCCUGGUGGCCCAAGAGCUGGCUCCAGGCUCUCUCCAGCUGCUGGGUCUACUGUGAGGUGAACGGCUGAGCCCAGCAGGCAGGAGCGGGAACCCAGGUUCUGCAGGAAGCCAUCCCUCCACAGCCAGAUACCCAGCCAGGAGGAAGCACAGGCUGGCACAGAGCCCUGUUCACGCUCAGGACACCCUGCACGGUCGGGACCUGUGCCUGCCGUGGAGGACCGGAGCCUCCCUCCUUUCCCAGAGCUGAGGGAGCAAACCUGUGUUGAUGGGGUGGGUUGGACUUGCGGGAGUCGAUUCAAUGAUAAGUUAUAGGUGAUGCACAUUUAGAUAACAUGAAACAAGUAAGAUCUGAAUGCUUGCAAAGAGCCUUAGCGGUGCCCUUGUUUGACCUUCUACUCCAAGACUUCAAUUGCCAUCUACUGAGUCAGUGAUUCUUUUAUUAAAAGUCCUGGCUCUGCCACUUCCUAGCUGUGUGACCUUGAGUGAAUUGCUUACUCUCUCUGUUCCUUGUCACUUACAAAAUAGGGAUCAUAAUAGUAUGGAGCUCCCAAGAGGUACUAAAUGAGCAUCAAAUGAGUUAAUGUUUGGGACCAUUUGCUGAUUACAUGCUGUGAGUAACCCCCUGUCAUCCACCCUCACCAUUCUGGUUUAGAACCCUCUUGCCCAGGCUCCUGGGGCAGUUUUUCUGGAUGAGACUCCACGUGGUUACACCGUACCUGCUUGCACAC